rnacentral:rRNA from 1 species
GUACUGAGACACGGACCAGACUCCUACGGGAGGCAGCAGUGAGGAAUAUUGCGCAAUGGACGAAAGUCUGACGCAGCCAUGCCGCGUGAAGGAUGACGGCGCUAUGCGUUGUAAACUGCUUUUAUUUACAAAGAAACCUCGGGACGUGUCCCGAGCUGACGGUAGUAUUUGAAUAAGCACCGGCUAACUCCGUGCCAGCAGCCGCGGUAAUACGGAGGGUGCAAGCGUUAUCCGGAUUUAUUGGGUUUAAAGGGUCCGUAGGUGGACCAUUAAGUCAGAGGUGAAAGCCCGCGGCUCAACCGCGGAAUUGCCUUUGAUACUGGUGGUCUUGAGUGUGCUCGAAGUUGGCGGAAUAUGACAUGUAGCGGUGAAAUGCUUAGAUAUGUCAUAGAACACCGAUUGCGAAGGCAGCCAACUAGGUCACAACUGACACUGAGGGACGAAAGCGUGGGGAGCGAACAGGAUUAGAUACCCUGGUAGUCCACGCCGUAAACGAUGAUUACUCGCUAUUGGCGAUAUACUGUCAGUGACUAAGCGAAAGUGAUAAGUAAUCCACCUGGGGAGUACGAUCGCAAGGUUGAAACUCAAAGGAAUUGACGGGGGCCCGCACAAGCGGUGGAGCAUGUGGUUUAAUUCGAUGAUACGCGAGGAACCUUACCAGGGCUUAAAUGUAGUGGGACAGGUCUAGAGAUAGACCCUUCUUCGGACUCAUUACAAGGUGCUGCAUGGUUGUCGUCAGCUCGUGCCGUGAGGUGUCAGGUUAAGUCCUAUAACGAGCGCAACCCCUAUCGUUAGUUGCCAGCAAUUUAAGUUGGGUACUCUAGCGAGACUGCCGGUGCAAACCGUGAGGAAGGUGGGGAUGACGUCAAAUCAUCACGGCCCUUACGUCCUGGGCUACACACGUGCUACAAUGGCCGGUACAGAGAGCAGCCACUACGCGAGUAGGAGCGAAUCUUCAAAACCGAUCUCAGUUCGGAUCGCAGUCUGCAACUCGACUGCGUGAAGCUGGAAUCGCUAGUAAUCGGAUAUCAGCCAUGAUCCGGUGAAUACGUUCCCGGGCCUUGUACACACCGCCCGUCAAGCCAUGGAAGCUGGGGGUACCUGAAGUCGGUGACCGAAAGGAGCUGCCUAGGGUAAAACUAGUAACUGGGGCUAAGUCGUAACAAGGUAGCCGUACCGGAAGGUGCGGCUG